AAAAAAAAAAAAAAACCAAAUGAUACAUCCUGCCCAAGUUACAUGAUGAAAUGACAUCGUCGUUUUACCAAUCCACACACAAACUGCACAUGGCUAACAGAUCACUCCAAUUGCACAGCAUAUUUUAGCUUCAUAACCUGGCAUACCAACAAAUAAAUACAAGAUUAGCAGCUCGGUUCUUCGGUUGGUUCCAUUGGUCCGGCGCUUGUCGGGUUGAAAAUAGUGACCUCUUUUUCUCGGUCUCGAAGCGCAUUAGCUUCCGGGUAUACCUGCUACACGCCCAAAUGAAGAACUACACAGAAACUGGAGAUCUUUCACAACUCAUAGCACCUCCUUUUCCAGUUUCAGCACAGCCAUGAAUGCCUCUUGAGGAACUUCGACCCUCCCGAUUGCUUUCAUUCUCUUCUUUCCUUCCGCCUGUUGGGAAAUGUUAGAGAAAAUAUUAUCUUGUCUAC
rnacentral:lncRNA from 1 species